rnacentral:rRNA from 1 species
UACGUAGGCAGCAAGCGUUGUUCGGAGUUACUGGGCGUAAAGGGUGCGUAGGUGGCUCUAUAAGUAUGGUGUGAAAUCUCCCGCUUAACUGGGAGGGUGCGCCGUAGACUGUGGGGCUAGAGUGUGGGAGAGGAAAGUGGAAUUCCUGGUGUAGCGGUGAAAUGCGUAGAUAUCAGGAGGAACACCGGUGGUGUAAACGGCUUUCUGGACC